UACAGAGGUCUCAACCGUUGUUCGGAUUCAUUGGGCGUAAAGGGUGCGUAGGCGGUCGGGUAAGUCGGAUGUGAAAUCUCAGGGCUCAACCCUGAAACUGCAUUCGAUACUGCCCUGGCUAGGGUACUGGAGAGGAGACUGGAAUUUACGGUGUAGCAGUGAAAUGCGUAGAUAUCGUAAGGAAGACCAGUGGCGAAGGCGAGUCUCUGGACAGUUACCGACGCUGAGGCACGAAGGUCAGGGGAGCAAACGGG
rnacentral:rRNA from 1 species